GAUUCGAACGCGUGUCUGGGCCUCAUUCUGAAGACGGACGCUGCCGCGUCUUUUAAACUGUUUUUCAGUCAAAGCGCCGUAACUGACACUCUGCUUGCGACGGGUUUCACUCAUUCCUGGAGGAGAGAAUUUGCCAAAGGCUCUUGUCCAGUUACUGAAAAGUUGGUUUAUUUAAUUUUUUUAGGAACAAUUGGAGCUCAUCCAGAUAACAGGCAGCUCUACACUGCACAGAUGAGCAUUCCACUGUACACUCUAAGCCAUUAACAAAAAACAGGUUGUUUCCUGAAGAAGCUGAAUCUAUGGCACCAGGACAUCUGAAACUGGCAAAUACAUCACUGAACUAUAAUUGACAUUAACCAAAAAAAAAGCAAAAAAAAUAAAGUCAGCAGUAGAUAAGUAGACACACACACACACACACAGACAGACAUAUAUUUAAGUACCUAUGUGUAAUGAUGUGUUAUAUUUCUAAGUACCUGUAUGUAAUAACAAUUUCUUAUAUUUAUUAUAUAUAAUUACCUGUAUGUUGUAAUAACAUUAUUUAACACAUUAAAUGUAACUAUAAAUAAUAACGUGCUUUGUAUGUGUUAUAUGUAAAUAUCUAUGUAAUAUUACUAUGUUCUUUAUUUAUUAAAUACAAUACUGUUGUGCAAGGCAUCUUAAGAAAUUAUUUAACCAUUUAUCCCAGCAGUAAGUUUAGUUUUGUCUGCAAUUAAUAACGUAUCUUAUUGUGUGCUAGUUAGAGAUGAAACGAUAUUAAAAUUUCAUAUCACGAUUAUCAUGACCAGAAU